rnacentral:rRNA from 1 species
GAUGAACGCUAGCUACAGGCUUAACACAUGCAAGUCGAGGGGCAGCACGGAGAUAGCUUGCUAUCUUGGGUGGCGACUGGCGCACGGGUGAGUAACGCGUAUCCAACCUGCCCAUUACUCUGGGAUAGCCUUGCGAAAGUAAGAUUAAUACCGGAUGUUGUUAAAAACCCGCAUGAGUUUUUGACCAAAGAUUUAUUGGUAAUGGAUGGGGAUGCGUGACAUUAGGUAGUUGGUGAGGUAACGGCUCACCAAGCCGACGAUGUCUAGGGGUUCUGAGAGGAAGGUCCCCCACACUGGAACUGAGACACGGUCCAGACUCCUACGGGAGGCAGCAGUGAGGAAUAUUGGUCAAUGGACGAGAGUCUGAACCAGCCAAGUAGCGUGCAGGAUGACGGCCCUCUGGGCUGUAAACUGCUUUUAGUUGGGAAUAAAAAGAGGGACGUGUCCCUAAUUGUAUGUACCAUCAGAAAAAGGACCGGCUAAUUCCGUGCCAGCAGCCGCGGUAAGAC